CUCUCCUACGAAAAGAACACGGGAACAGAAAAUGAAAUACCCGACUUCAUUAAUCUUCCCGCCGACAGAUGGCCAUCCAUCACUUACCUGGACUCUUUCCGACGAACUCUUCAAGCGCUGGAUCACCUCCGUCGCACUUUUGGCUUUCUCCGACAGCUGUUGCAACGAUUGCGUCAACUCGGCCUGAAAUAAAUCAGAUAAGCGCCAAUAGAUGGACGUCGUGAUUUUGAUGGCGGCCAGCAUCCGAUAAAACGCACAAGUGGCAAGCUCCCAAUCGACAAGUGUUGCAAUAAUAAGAUUGGACCUGAUCACCAUGUUCGCUGCAGUGUGGAACGGCAUCUGCACACGACUGCUGUUGCUGUGGGAAAAGAGCCAAAACGAAAAAGGUGGGGUGACGAUGAUGUGGCACGCUAUUUUGCUUCAUUGGAUGACGGCUGUGAGUGGAGAUAAGAGCGUGUGCUCCCGCUGCAAGUUGAAAACCAAUUAUAAAGAAAAACUUUAAGACGACGAAAGAGGGGUCUCCAAGACAACGCCGAUCCCAUAUCGUCCCGACUAUUAGAACCCCAGCAUAACCAUAACAAGAUAACGUAUACCAACCGUAAUAGAUCUAUAACAAGGCGUGACUAUUCAAACGCGGGAAUGGGUACAAUAUUUUGGAAGAUCUAUCAUUUAAAGGAGAAAGUCCUGAUCAGCCUUAUCGGCGAUCAUUUUAGCGAUCGCGAGAGAACUAGUGGCUCCAGGUGAAGGGGUAUUACGACAGUGAAUAAUAUUACGGCCGAUUUCACCCAUUCCGUAGUCGAAAACAAAGUCCUCUAUCAGACUUCCGUCAGCGCCAAGAGCUUGAGCACGGACCCCAGCUGGUCCUCUGAAAAAUGGAAAUACAAGUGAUUUGGAAAGACGCAGAAAAUGAACGUACAUAAAACAGGUAUAAAAGCCAAAAUUUACCGAGAUAUGUCAGAUGCUUGAACCUGUGGGAUGUACUUUUGCAGCUCUUUUACAGCUAAACUAACAAAGGCGGACCGAACGAUUUCUUGAACUCCGAACGAAGCAUAUUUCAAUGCUAAUUUCUGGAAACCACGAUAACUCAACGAAUCGGCAAGGUCGCCUAUACCUGUAUCCUUCACGCUUCAAAGCUAACACAGCAUUAGGCCCUAGCCAAACAGAGCCAUCUAUUCUUGGGGUAAAGUGGACACCGAGGAAUGGAAAACGAGGAUCAGAUGCUCUACCGGGUAGAUAUUUCCUUUCACUAAAUGUGUUUUUGCAGGAUUGAGCAAAAGAUAUUCGCCACGGAAAGGCACAAUACGUGGCUCUCUAGAACAGCCGGAAAGUUCUGCCAAUCGAUCCGAUUGCAGGCCACCACAGGUCAAGACGUACCGGCAGCGCACAGAUUGCUAAAAAGUAAGUUCCACCUCCGAUUUAGUAAUUAGGGCUUCACUUGACACUGAACUGAUUAACACUUUACCCCAUUGCUUGCUGUGACUUGUAUGCCUUUUUUGUUUUCCGCGAUCACCUUGACUUUACUUUCUUGGGCAACUUUGAAAUCCUUAACUUCAAAGUUGAGGUGAAUUUUACCUCCUAAUGAUUUGAAAUCCUCCCCGUAAUAUUGCGUAACUAAACCCCAGUCCACGAUUCCGGUAUGUGGCGACCAUACAGCUUUCAGACCCUAAUAUAGGAUAAACAGUGUAACACUAGCUGAACCAUAGAUGAUGAAAGAUCAUACUUUGUAUGUACCUGACAGUAGGGUUCUAUUUCUUUGAUCUUUGCUCCAUCAACCAUUUGAAUAUCUGGAACACCAUUCUGAAUUCCACGGUUAUAGAGAUCCUCCAGCCUUGGCAACUCCUCUUUUGCAACAGCUACAAUGAGCUUGCCACAUUUUUUGUAGGGAAUCCCUUUCUCAUCAAAAUACUUGUAAGAGAGGUGGAGGCCUUCAACACACAGUUUUGCCUUCAGUGAUCCAGGUUUGUAAUAAAUCCCCCCAUGUAUCACUCCACUGUUGUGCCCACUUUGGUGUGCAGCUAAAAUGAAACAGAAACAUCUAUUCAUAAAUUGAAAGUCGUUAUCCACCUUAUUUUAACACCUUGAAAUGGAUCAGAUCACACAGUUGGCUUUAUUAGAGGCAUAAACUGAAAUAAUAGGAUAUAUAAGUUACCUAAACGAUUCUCUUUUUCGAGUACAGCAAACUUUAAAUUUGGGUGCCUCAUUAUCAAUUCCCUUGCUGCCGCCAUGCCAACAAUUCCUCCACCAACAACAACAAUAUCAUAUUCAGGCUCCGUUCUUGAUUACAAAAAGAGGCAAUUAGCAUCUGAUUAUCUGUUAAAUGUUAGAGCAAAUUGCACCACCUUCCUUUACAUAAUCUUUUAAAAUAGAGAUAUUGUUACCCUUGAGAUGAAAAUUUUCUAUUUAUAGCCGACGACGAAGCUGGAAAACAAA